UACAGAGGCCUCGAGCGUUAAUCGGAAUUACUGGGCGUAAAGCGCGCGUAGGCGGUUUGGUAAGUCGGAUGUGAAAGCCCCGGGCUCAACCUGGGAAUUGCAUUCGAUACUGUCUGACUAGAGUAUGGUAGAGGGAAGUGGAAUUUCCGGUGUAGCGGUGAAAUGCGUAGAUAUCGGAAGGAACACCAGUGGCGAAGGCGACUUCCUGGGCCAAUACUGACGCUGAGGUGCGAAAGCGUGGGGAGCAAACAGG
rnacentral:misc_RNA from 1 species